UACGUAGGUGGCAAGCGUUACUCGGAAUCACUAGGCGUAAAGCGCAGGUAGGAGGUUUGGUAAGUCUAUUGUGAAAGCUCCCGGCUUAACUGGGAGAGGUCAAUGGAAACUACCAGGCUGGAGUGCGGUAGAGGUAGCUGGAAUUCCCGGUGUAGCGGUGAAAUGCGUAGAUAUCGGGAGGAAUACCUAUGGCGAAAGCAGGCUACUGGACCGUCACUGACUCUGAUGAGCGAAAGCCAGGGGAGCAAACGGG
rnacentral:rRNA from 1 species